rnacentral:lncRNA from 1 species
AUAACUAUUAUUACUCAAAAUAUAGAUUGUAUAUUUAUGUUUAAGUGAGGUUAUCACUGAAAUAUGUACUGGAAAAAUUAACGUAGUACUAAAUCGUAGCUCUAAAAGGGCUACUAUUUAUCAACAGAUAGCAUCUACAUUACCGCGCUUCCUAUGAAAAAUUCACGAAGUGAAUGUAAUGGGAAAGAAAUGGUACUAUGGUGUAGUGUCGAACUACAACCGUACCUAUUACCUUAAAUCUAGGGUAAUACUACCAAGUACCACAGUAUUUGGAUAUAUAUAAAUAUAUAUAUCAAUACACCGAUACUCAACUUGCCUUAUUUGAUGGAUAAGGUAUAAUGUGAUGUCUAGAUCCCAGACUGUUUCGCUCCCCUAUCAGAGGGAUUUUAGGACCUACACACGACCCCUGCAUGAAUGCAAGCCGUGAGCAUCACAUUACCUGCGAUCAUGUAUACUCGAUAUAACAAUCACAAUCGUAGUGUGUUUUAUCAGUAUAGUUAGAUCCUAAACUGGUUCUGAGCUAUAGCCCCUAGUGACGUCUAUCCUAUGUAUAUGAAAGCGUACUCAUGUAAGUGUGAUCAUGUAAUUGUACUUAUGGUGUACUGAAAUGUUCUACGUGUGCUAGCUGUAAUGUGUGUUCUCUCUAUCUAGCAAGUAUUGUCAUGUAAGCGUUCUAGUAUAAUUGUAUAUGUUCUCGUCCUAGUAUAGAUGUAUAUGUAUUGUACAGCAAUGUUCUAGAAAGUAUUGACUCAUGAAUGAACUGACUCGUUGUAUGAUAUCGCGUUCUAGUAAUGGUUCUAGUAUCUUCCUGAACUACCCAAAUGGUAGCUUACUAGUAAUCUAAGUGGUACGUAUGGACGUGGAUGUAUACCCUUGCUACCCAAGGGCAUAGGAUGAACUGGAAGGACCUUUUAUGACUUUAUAUGUACACAUGAUAUAUAACUAAUAUUUAAACGACCUUCGGACGAGUAUCCAAUAUCCCACCAGACCACAUCUCAAGGCGCGAAAAGGAAAUAGGGUGGAUAGCCUUCCUAAGUCUUUUAAACAUUUCUUAUAUAACUAUACAUAUAGAGGCAUGCAAUUUAUAAUAUAAAAGCAUAAAUAAGUUUGGUAAAACAUUUGAAACAUAAAUAUUAGUUUAAGGAAAGAUCGACUUGAUGUCAAUCUAUAAAACAAUUUGAAGGCAUAAGUUUGAUAAAACAAUAUAAGUAUAAGGAACAUUUGUUUGAAACACAGUUGUAAAUAAGUUUGAAAUAUGAUAAACAGAGUAAGAGGUACAGUGUAAUAAGGAGUUUAAAACAUAUAAAAUGUUUAUAAAAAUCAUUUGAAGGAAACUGUUUGGUAAAACGGCUAAUGAGUAGCCAAAUCUUUUGAAUGUUGUAUAUUAAUCACAUGUGAUUGAUGUAAUAAGUAAUAUACUCCUACUUACUAAUCACAUGCAAUUGACAUAAUAAGUAGCAUGAUUCUACUUGUUUCCCCCCCCAUAAAGCAUUUAAAAGUAGUUUAAAACAUUAUUUAAGGGGUAUGAACUCACAUGAAAGCUUGAAGAUAGCGAGAUGGAAAACCGGGCAGAGUUUCGUCUCGGGAAACGGAUUUUUCUCGGGAUUCUCGGGAAUCUCGGGAGUAAAAUCGACCCUCGGGACUUGAGCAAAAAGACCAGAGCUUCGGGUUAUAACGGGCACGGAAAACGAGGCAAGAUCGAGAGAGAAAUGAGAGAAUUGAGCAACUUUUUCGGAAAGCCUCGCAUCCUAUUUAUAGGAAGGUUGAACCGCCUCCGAACGCGGGGCGUACGCUCGUACGCAGCGCGUACGCGUACGUCAUGCAUGACCGAAGCCUCGACUGCCUCGGUUCGGAUGGGACGGGUUGCUGGGUACGCGGGUCGGAUGGGACGGCGGGUCGGACGGGACAGCGGGUCGGACGGGUCGGAGCUUCGGACGGGUCGGACGGGUCGGAUUCCUCGGAUAUUGGCGACGUGGACGAUCCGAAGCCCUUGAUCUCAGUACGCGGGGCGUACGAAGGUACGCAGGGCGUACUUCGGACCUAUCCGAUGACUCCCCUUCGGAUAAUACCGGGAAUUUAUAAUUAAAUUUAUAUUUAUUUUAAUUAAACUUCUAAAAUUCAUAUCUCCCUCAUACGAACUCCGUUUUUGACGUUCUUUAUAUCCACGCGAAGGUGAGACCAUGAUCUACAACUUUCGUUUAGAUUCCGUUGGCAAAUUCCGAAAUUAUUUUUAUUAUUUAUUUAUUAAAAUGACGUGAUUAAGGAAUUUCUUCGAAAAUUCAUAACUUUCUCAUCCGAAGUCAGAUUUGGACGUUCUUUUUAUGUACGCUCACGGUUUGAGGUUAUCUAUAACUUUCAUUUAGAUACUUAAGGCUAUAAACUAUUGUAUUGAAACUUCGCGUUUUUCGUUUAAUCGGUGUUGCCGGUUUUGCCGAGAAUCUUCGGUUGGUCAUAACUUCUUCGUUAUAACUCGGAUUUUAGGGUUCUUUAUAUGUACGAAAACCUUGAUACGAUUCCUACUACUUUAUUUAACCCAAAUAAGAUUUUAGGAAAGUUAUAUUUUGACCUAAAUUUGAUUGGUUUUACAUUACAUUGUCUCGAAAUAUCGGGUUGUCACAUCAUCCCCCCGUUAAAGGGAAUUUCGUCCCGAAAUUAGAAUUUAAGCAAGGAAGUAUGCACGAAUGAUCGAGUCGUGAGGAGGAAACUUCCUAAUCGAUUGGUUCUAGCGCACCUAAGUGAUAACGGGUUCUCGGUUGGCAUUCCAACGAACCUUCACUAACUGGCGACGGCGUUGCUUCGUCCGCUUGACCUCUCGGUCGAGGGUCACUACGGUUCUAAUACGAAGGCGAGGAUCUCGAAGAGUGGACUUGCAAGAGUCCUAACGGAAAGGUAUGGUUUCACGAUCGAGAUGCGAAGAGUAGAAAGUACGUUACUGAGUUCGCGGAGUAGGUCUUGUUUGUGUGAGGCACAGGACCGAUUCUGAUAAGAAUCUCGGAGGUCCUGUCUAACUUGGAUUUAGAUUUCCACGCUUUACGAAGCGUAUUAAGCCAUUCCCAGAGUGAGUUAUCCUAAAGAACUUGGUCACUCACUUGGAAUCUCAAAGGUUCCUUUUCUUGCGUAACUUCCCAGUCAAAGGCCACCCCUUGCUGGGUCAAAGUCGUACGAGUUUCUGUAGCUUGCGAGGAGUUCUGAAUGAACUAAGGCGGUAGGUCGGUAAGGCCUAGAAUUUGGCGAAAAACUGUCGGUGUCUCUGGUGUCGAUGAAUGCUCAAUGGUUUUGGCAAAUUGAAAGAGUACUCAAAAUUUCCCACAUUACUAACAGUGUGUCCUAGAAAUUUGACUCUUCAAUUUCCAAAUCUCGUGCCUAGAGAACUUUGCUAAAAGUUCCUCUGUAGGAAAUGUUUUCAUGGGUUUUCUUCUUACUACGAGGGUAGAUAAGUAAGUCAUUUCAUGGAGAAAUGACGAAUCGAUCCAAGUAAGAAAGACGUAACCCUAAUCAUUUAUCUCAUGAAAACCAUGGGCGUAUUGGUCCUAUCCGAAAGGUAUCACUACGAACUCGAAGUGUCCGUAUCGAGUUCAGGAGAUAGUCUUUCGGACAUCCUUCCCUAACACUCGAACUGGUGAUAUUCGGAUUUCAGAUCCAUUCCUGGAAGUAGUUUCUUUCCUUACGUUUGCUCAACCAUUUUGUCUAUGCGAGGCAGAGAUAACGAUUUCUAUGAAAAUCUUGACGGAUUCCUCGAUAACCGAGGCACAUACGAUGCGAUCCAUCGAUCUCUGGAAGAAUCUGACCGGGGUUCUCUAGGGUGAGAAACCUAGUCUUCUAAUUCUAUUUCUGUGUAGUUCGCUAAGUUGUUCGUACUGUUCUUGUAUCUCCGUGGGUGUUUAAACUAUAGGGUGAUCUGUUUUCGGGAGUCGUACUGGGUUCUAAGUUUGUUCACAUGACGAUGUGAUUACUCGUAUACUUAGGCAGUUUCUCCGUCCUGAAGUCCAUUUUAGAAUUCAUACAGGGCUUCACGAUCACAAUUUCGUGUAUACGAGUCGUAUAUAAUUAAGAUUGAAAAGGUAGUCGAAUAACUGAUUCUUCCUUACCCUCACAUCCCAAGGAGGAAAAGAGUUAAGGCGGAAUCAUCAAUUCUAAACCUGUAGAACCUUGAUUAUAUAACACUCUUAUGUAUACCUUCCUCAGUGAUAGAUCAUCCGCAUGAAUCCCUGGAUUGAACUUGACGUACUGCACGAGUGGUACUUCGGGGAUUUCUUCGGAAAGAAAAUAUCUAAGAGGUACUCCUGGAAUGAGUACUUCGGCGUUCUGAUAUGACGGCUUCGCUGGAAAAGUGAUCUAGAAGAUAGGGAUGUACGUAUGAAGCUGUUUUCGUGAGGAUCAAAUUUAAUCGAGUCGUAUGAUAAUGUCGGGAUCAUACUGAAAUUUAAAGACAUUAGAUUUGAACAUAAGACGUUUACAGACAAGAGACAACCGUGCAACCAUGAACAGAGUUACAGUACUUUAGAUUUACCACAAGACUAUUGCUGCGAAUAAGAUAUACUACAAAAGACAAGUAUACGCAGCACGAGAAUUCCUAUACAGACAGGAUCUCGCAAAAGGUAAGACUCUAGUUGCACUAGUUCUAGAUAGUUUAUAAGUCUGUUACAACGAAACGCCUUAAAUAUAUUAACGUGGUUCCUGAGCAGGCUCUCCUGCAGCUGUGAUCCUGAGAAUCUUCCCAUCAGCGCCAGAAUUCUGCGUUAUCGGGCAAUCCCUCUUGAAGUGCCCUGUCUCACCACAUUGGUGACAUGACUGGCUAGUACUAGCUUUGGUGACGGGAUUACGGUGCUUAGCUAGUGUUAUGUGGACACGAGUGCCUUCCUCGUUACUCCACCUCGAAAAUUGCUUCUUGAAUCGUUCUGCGCUAUAACUCGUCUUGUGCGCAGGGUUAGUCUCGAUGAAAGGGACUUGAGUGACGGGUCGUUUCGGUGCUCCACAGUCACGAGCAUGAUGCCCUAUGUUUAGGCAAUUGCAACAUUGCAUCUCAUGGCAAGCCCCAUGAUGAUGGAAACUACACUUAUCACACUUCGGGAGUUUUCCCUCAUAUGACCUGCGCGGUACGGGAACGGCAGGGGUUUCCACUUGCUGCUGUUGUAUAGCCAGCUUUUGAGCUCUCUUGCGUUCUUUCCGGGCUUGGCGCUUUCGUUUCUUGUUCUCUGUUUUCUGGCUUUGCGAGCCUGUGACUGUUACUGUUUGGUGACUCCCUGGAUGGAUAUCACGAUUGGGAACUUCAUUCCCAUCAGCAGUAUCGACCGUGUUGAUAGUGCUACGGUGCGCAAUGACCGCGGGUACGACAGCCACUACGGCAGCUGUAAAUACCGUUUGAAAGGUAGCGGCGUCCAUGGGAAAAGUAGAGGUCUCGUUGCUUGGCUGGUUGUUUCCGGAUGACGACAUGAUUCUGUAACACGAAAGAGUAAAGAUUUGUGAGCGAUUCUGGUUGACCCUGAUGUACUUAGAUUGUUCAUGAAAAGAGUAAGAGUAUGAUCUCGAAAGUUUGACCUACAUCCCUAUGAUGCAGUCCUGGUUAAAGAAUGAAAGUAUGUUCGCGAAGGUUUGACCUACAUCCCUAUGAUGCAGUCCUAGUACGGAAUGGAAGUAUGUUCGUAGAAUGGUCUCAAGACGUUUGUCGUUCGAGCUGAGGUAUCGUGGGUUGGUGAAUAACAAGAUCCAACCACUGAAAGAGACUUGGAAAUGCCUCUGGAGAUAAAUCACCAUAGUCCAAUGACUUGACUAAAGUAUGAUUCAGAUAGACUCCAAUGAAAGUAAGAUAAAAGUACUUGAAUGAAGAAUGACACAGAAGUUAGCCGGCUGUCAAUAUCUUUGAUAUUCACGAUGUAAAGAUUCGGGAAAAUGACCUUGUAAAGGUCUUACAUCAUAUCCACAGAAGAUAGUUCCUGACAGCAUAAAGACCUAACUAAAGUACUUACGGAACAAGAUAAUUUCAUAGAAAAUACCACAUCGGGCAUAGACAGAAAAACACGAUUUCUUUUUAUAAGGGAAAUAAAGUAAAGCGUCUACUACUGGCGACGGUCAUCCCUCUGGUGAACUCUUAGUUCAACCAAUUGACGUUCCAUGUCAAGUAGGUGUCUUUCGCACACCAUCUGGCGUACUCGGAGCCCUAUGACUUCGGCUCGUGAUUCAGUCAGUGCUUGCAGCAGGGUUUCAUGGUUUCUCUCUGAUCUCUCGUGAGCAUCUUCUAGAUGAAUGGUGUGGAGGGUAUGCAUUCUAGCAUAGGCGACUACUUCUGUAAUCUGAUGUAGGGCUGUCCUGCCUUGAAUCUCAUUUCGGGCCUCUCUGCGGACCAAGAUUGGCAAGACUCUAUCUGCUGAGCCCCCAUUGCUCAAGUCGUAAAAGCUUCGGUCGCCAUCAAAUAGCAUAAACUGAUCUUGUCCUUGGCUCCCUGUUUCCAAGCAUUCCACUCACUCAGGGUCGGGCCAUGAAAAGCCGGACGAGGGUUAGGAAUUGGAAAGGAGCUGCUUGGGGUAGGUUCUCAACCUCUGGUUCGGAGUUAGCAUCAUACGAAAAGUCUUCAUCAUGGUGAUCAUCCAAGGGGAUAGGAUGAUCAUUCUCUGGUUCUUCUCCAAACCAACCAGCUAUGACUUCAUUCGGAAGAUACUGGUUGUCAAGGGGAUGGAGUCCAGCUAUGAUUUCUAUGCGAGAAUUUAGGGUAAGAGGAUAAUUAUUAGACGAACUAUCUAGAUAAUUAUUUAGAAAACCUUCAUUAGUUACAUCGCUAUUUGUGAAGUGCAUACCAGCUAUGUGUAAUCUAAACAGGAUAGACCUUCGAAUAAGUGACCUUAUUUCCAAAUUCACACAGAAUAGGGGUAAGGCAAAAUUACCACUGAUUCUAAGUCUAUAACAUCCUAAUUACAUGUAGCCUUAGUGUAUCCACUUAGCAACUAUCAACUUAGUAAUGAAGAUCCCGUUUUAAUUCUCAAGUAUAAAGUACUUAUAGUAACACCAAAUACACCUAUAGUAUUUUAAUUUUAAUGUUAUGUUCUAUUGUUCUCAUUGUGGUAGGGUUGGUAAGAUUUUAGCAUUGUUGCAACCACACACUUAAACUUAGGCACAUGCUAGUCAACCCUCGGAUAAUAUAGGUGAUCAGGCUAUAUCUUCCCAGUUUUGACCAUAUGUCUCUAAGCACACUUGUGUUGCCCAACAAUCGUAAUUCUUUUGUACUGUCCUAGUGACACUGAUUUUAGUAUGAAUGCAGGCACGUAUACUUACUUAAAUAUUUUAUUAUUUAAAGUAUAAACUCUAAAUCAGAGUAUUUUUAAUCCCAUUGUAUUUAUAGUUAGUAUAUCUUUUAUGGGUUGAUAUACUCAAUUCACUAUAAACAAUGCUCUGAUACCAAUCUGUCACACCCCAAAACCGAGAACGGCGGAAACGUUCUGGGGCGGAGGACGUCAUGUAUAAUAUCAACAACAAUGUAAAGUAGUAAACAAGCAACAACAUCAUCCAUUGCAUUAAUAAAAUAAUUAUUAUACAAUUGUAUUCUGACAAAUUUUGAUAAACACUAAAGCAUAAAUCAAAAUGAAAGAUAAGUCUUGAAUAAGCUCCAUCUUCCGUUUUCCUUGCAUCGGUACCUGUCUAUGAUGACCUGAGGAUACAAGUAAUUUUGAAAGCGAGUAUCAGCUUUAAAGCUGGUGAGAUCAUAAGUAUUAAUGUGUCUUAAUUUGUGAAAACUUAUAAUUUCUAAGACUUGACAUUGCUUUGAAAGAAAACGAGUAUAAGUAUGAAAAUAUUUGUAGCUCAACUGUAUAUGUUUGAAAAUCCCUAGAAAUCCCUAUGAUUCCUAUUAGUAACAAAAGGAGUCUUCUACCAAGACUUAACUGUUCUGUGUGUGUGUGUCUCUUGUAAGAGUAUGUAUUUUUCCAAAGUAUAACUAUCAUUACUCAAAAUAUAGAUUGUAUAUUUAUGUUUAAGUGAGGUUAUCACUGAAAUAUGUACUGGAAAAAUUAACGUAGUACUAAAUCGUAGCUCUAAAAGGGCUACUAUUUAUCAACAGAUAGCAUCUACAUUACCGCGCUUCCUAUGAAAAAUUCACGAAGUGAAUGUAAUGGGAAAGAAAUGGUACUAUGGUGUAGUGUCGAACUACAACCGUACCUAUUACCUUAAAUCUAGGGUAAUACUACCAAGUACCACAGUAUUUGGAUAUAUAUAAAUAUAUAUAUCAAUACACCGAUACUCAACUUGCCUUAUUUGAUGGAUAAGGUAUAAUGUGAUGUCUAGAUCCCAGACUGUUUCGUUCCCCUAUCAAAAAGAUUUUAGGACCUACACACGACCCCUGCAUGAAUGCAAGUCGUGAGCAUCACAUUACCGCGAUCAUGUAUACUCGAUAUAACAAUCACAAUCGUAGUGUGUUUUAUCAGUAUAGUUAGAUCCUAAACUGGUUCUGAGCUAUAGCCCCUAGUGACGUCUAUCCUAUGUAUAUGAAAGCGUACUCAUGUAAGUGUGAUCAUGUAAUUGUACUUAUGGUGUACUGAAAUGUUCUACGAAUGCUAGCUGUAAUGUGUGUUCUCUCUAUCUAGCAAGUAUUGCCAUGUAAGCGUUCUAGUAUAAUUGUAUAUGUUCUCGUCCUAGUAUAGAUGUAUAUGUAUUGUACAGCAAUGUUCUAGAAAGUAUUGACUCAUGAAUGAACUGACUCGUUGUAUGAUAUCGCGUUCUAGUAAUGGUUCUAGUAUCUUCCUGAACUACCCAUAUGGUAGCUUACUAGUGAUCUAAGUGGUACGUAUGGACGUGGAUGUAUACCCUUGCUACCCAAGGGCAUAGGAUGAACUGGAAGGACCUUUUAUGACUUUAUAUGUACACAUGAUAU